UUUUCUCUCUGCCUCUUCCGUUCUCUCUGCCUCUGUCACUCCGCUGCUCUUCUCCCCUCCCUCUCUCAUCGCCUCUCCACCAGUUGUGCCUCCGCCGCGAGCUCUCUCUCCUCUCUCUGUGCAGUUCGCAUAUUGACCCAAAAUCUAGGUUGGUGAUUAGGUCUUCUUCUACACCAUUUUUCUCGGUAUCGAUAGAACCAUCAAUGUUUUUCUUCAUUGAAAUCGUUUCCUGUAUAUAAUCUAGAAGAUGAGUGUAGAUCUAGUCGCUUCAAAUACCCACAGGAAUCUCGAUGAGCAUAUUGCACAGCUUAUGCAGUGCAAACCUUUGUUCGAGCCUUAGCUGUGGUGGUUUCAGCACCAUUUGAUGCCACUGGCAGAGUAUCAACAGUUGAGUCACAAUUUGAAAGAAUGGAUGAUAUGCACAGUACCAACAUUGAAGAAGGUGAUUGAUCUCCUUCUAGAAUUCUCUUAAUUGCAGAUCGAAAACUGUUACCAUAGAUGUAUAGAAACUCAAGGGCAUAUAUACAAUCUGCUAAAAUUUAUAUACCUAUAUUUUAAUU